rnacentral:rRNA from 1 species
CCGGCGAGGGGAGUGAAAAAGAACCUGAAACCGUGUACGUACAAGCAGUGGGAGCCCCACCACUAAGCCAGUGGUGAGUCCACGUCAGCAUCCUUUGCCGAAGGUAAGGUUAACGGAGCGCAAGCGACGUUCAACCUCAAAAGAAGCAGAGGGGGCUUAGUGGUGGGGUGACUGCGUACCUUUUGUAUAAUGGGUCAGCGACUUAUAUUCUGUAGCAAGGUUAACCGAAUAGGGGAGCCGAAGGGAAACCGAGUCUUAACUGGGCGUUAAGUUGCAGGGUAUAGACCCGAAACCCGGUGAUCUAGCCAUGGGCAGGUUGAAGGUUGGGUAACACUAACUGGAGGACCGAACCGACUAAUGUUGAAAAAUUAGCGGAUGACCUGUGGCUGGGGGUGAAAGGCCAAUCAAACCGGGAGAUAGCUGGUUCUCCCCGAAAGCUAUUUAGGUAGCGCCUCGUGAACUCAUCUUCGGGGGUAGAGCACUGUUUCGGCUAGGGGGUCAUCCCGACUUACCAACCCGAUGCAAACUGCGAAUACCGAAGAAUGUUAUCACGGGAGACACACGGCGGGUGCUAACGUCCGUCGUGAAGAGGGAAACAACCCAGACCGCCAGCUAAGGUCCCAAAGUCAUGGUUAAGUGGGAAACGAUGUGGGAAGGCCCAGACAGCCAGGAUGUUGGCUUAGAAGCAGCCAUCAUUUAAAGAAAGCGUAAUAGCUCACUGGUCGAGUCGGCCUGCGCGGAAGAUGUAACGGGGCUAAACCAUGCACCGAAGCUGCGGCAGCGACGCUUAUGCGUUGUUGGGUAGGGGAGCGUUCUGUAAGCCGUCGAAGGUGUGCUGUGAGGCAUGCUGGAGGUAUCAGAAGUGCGAAUGCUGACAUAAGUAACGAUAAAGCGGGUGAAAAGCCCGCUCGCCGGAAGACCAAGGGUUCCUGUCCAACGUUAAUCGGGGCAGGGUGAGUCGACCCCUAAGGCGAGGCCGAAAGGCGUAGUCGAUGGGAAACAGGUUAAUAUUCCUGUACUUGGUGUUACUGCGAAGGGGGGACGGAGAAGGCUAUGUUAGCCGGGCGACGGUUGUCCCGGUUUAAGCAUGUAGGCGGAGGUUCCAGGUAAAUCCGGUACCUUUUAACGCUGAGGUGUGAUGACGAGGCACUACGGUGCUGAAGUAACAAAUGCCCUGCUUCCAGGAAAAGCCUCUAAGCAUCAGGUAACACGAAAUCGUACCCCAAACCGACACAGGUGGUCAGGUAGAGAAUACCAAGGCGCUUGAGAGAACUCGGGUGAAGGAACUAGGCAAAAUGGUGCCGUAACUUCGGGAGAAGGCACGCUGACAUGUAGGUGAAGCCCCUGCGGGUGGAGCUGAAGUCAGUCGAAGAUACCAGCUGGCUGCAACUGUUUAUUAAAAACACAGCACUGUGCAAACACGAAAGUGGACGUAUACGGUGUGACGCCUGCCCGGUGCCGGAAGGUUAAUUGAUGGGGUUAUCCUCAGGGAGAAGCUCUUGAUCGAAGCCCCGGUAAACGGCGGCCGUAACUAUAACGGUCCUAAGGUAGCGAAAUUCCUUGUCGGGU